GUGCUCUCUUUGGCAGCACAUAUACUAAAAAAUUAGAAUGAUACAGAGAUUAGCAUAGCCCCUGCACACCGAUACCAUGCAAACUUAUGGAAAUAUUCCAUAUUUUU
ensembl:snRNA U6 U6 spliceosomal RNA